rnacentral:tRNA from 1 species
UUCCUAAAAGUUCAAAAGAAACAAUGAUUUUGUAAAUCAGAAGAAUAAAAGGAAA